ACCCUAUUAUUAUUGAAAUAUAUCUGACUUCCAAUCAGAAGACCUUGGUUAAAACCCCAAGAUAGUGUA
rnacentral:tRNA from 2 species